UCCUUAUGGGAACAUUUACUUUGGAGUUUAUAUUUUGACAUUUUUUAACUUAAAAUUCAUGAAGUGUAUUUCUGUCUCCUUUCUAUAUUUAGUUAAUUGUGGGAUUUUGCAAGCUUUUUAGCAUUUUGAUAAUAUUAAAAAAGGGAGUUUUAAAAUGAUAAAAAAUGUUGUCUAAAUAUGUAUUCCAUAAUAAUUUGAUUAUCAAAGUAAUAGAAGGUGCUUUUCAGUAAUUUAUUCUAUAAAUGUAAAAAUGUCACUAAAUUGGAAGCAUAAUGUAUGUUUUUGUGCUACUUAUAUGCCAAUAUCUUUUAAGCGAUCACUUGACUUCAGUCUCCUGUUUUAUAUUGGUUUUCCAUAGAUGUGAGCACAGACCUAAAGUUUCCUGCCUCCAUCUGUUCUGCUUGCAGCUGUUUUGGCAACAGAAGAAAAAAUCCCCAUAACAAAUCAAAUAAAAGCCCUUUAUGUGAAGAGGAAUUGAAAACAGCAGGCCUCAAAGAGGACUGCACAUGAGAUGCCUUGUUCUGGCUUUCAACACAACUCAAAUCAGAAACACAUUACCAUAAUCUGAAACAGCCCACUGCUAACACAAGACAGAUGGUGGGUAAUAACCCAUGCAUCAUUAAUAAAUAAAUUCCAGCAUUAAAGGCUUUACAAAGUAUGACAACAUUAUCUGGGCACAAUGACUGCCCCUCUCCCACCCCCAACAUCAUUUCAGCGUGUUAUGGGAUAUGCUAGGUUUAUUUUUAUUUUUUUCCCCUCCAACUCCGUGGAUCUGAAGGAAGUUUAAAUACGACACAAGUUUUAACCAGAUGAAACCUAUCUCAGUGUACAAGACAGGUCUGAAACUCCAUAAGGGAAAAAUAAAAUAGCUGCCAAAGUUUAAUAGCUCACAUGUUCUGGUGUUGGAUCAGCCCACAGCAAUUUAUUGCGCUGCCCUCCAUGCGCUGGCCUCACCCUUUCUGGUACGCCUCUGUGCCUGUAUUGCAGUACACACUCCAAGCAAGAAUCUUGGCAUCACAUUUGCCACAAAGCUGAAAGAUAUAUGAGUAAUUUCUCAGCUUUCCUUUUGCAAACGAUACCAUCUGUCUCUUUUUCCCCAGCUCCCCCCACCAAGGGGGGGGAAGAAAAAAACCUCUGAUUGAAUUGAAAAAAGGAGAGAGAGAGAGAGCAUUUUAACUCCAUAAAUG
rnacentral:lncRNA from 1 species